AUUGAACGCUAGCGGGAUGCUUUACACAUGCAAGUCGAACGGCAGCGCGGACUUCGGUCUGGCGGCGAGUGGCGAACGGGUGAGUAAUGUAUCGGAACGUGCCCAGUAGCGGGGAUAACUACGCGAAAGCGGAGCUAAUACCGCAUACGCCCUACGGGGGAAAACAGGGGAUCGUAAGACCUUGCACUAUUGGAGCGGCCGAUAUCGGAUUAGCUAGUUGGUGAGGUAACGGCUCACCAAGGCGACGAUCCGUAGCUGGUUUGAGAGGACGACCAGCCACACUGGGACUGAGACACGGCCCAGACUCCUACGGGAGGCAGCAGUGGGGAAUUUUGGACAAUGGGGGCAACCCUGAUCCAGCCAUCCCGCGUGUGCGAUGAAGGCCUUCGGGUUGUAAAGCACUUUUGGCAGGAAAGAAACGUCGCGGGCUAAUACCCCGUGGAACUGACGGUACCUGCAGAAUAAGCACCGGCUAACUACGUG
rnacentral:rRNA from 1 species